UCUGAUAAUGACCAGUUUUUCACAAGUUCAACUUUUAUUUUCCAUGUUUGCUGUGCAUUUAUACAAAGCAAGUAACAAAGACUUUAUGUGAAUGGACACCAGCAUGCUGGUGUUAAAUGGUUCUGUGCAUAGCUGACAUUCCUUGUACAUGUAUUCAGUUGCUGAAACAAGGGUCACCUCCCAGCUGUGUAUUUAUGAAAAGGAUGCUUUGGCUUACUGUCGUAACAUGAAAUAAUUGCGUACAUAUCCUUGCGUCAUUUUAAUUUACAAUUUGAAUAUGGUUAUUUGUGGUACAAUAUUCCAUGGGUGGCCCAAGCUAUGGAGUGUUUUAUCUAAAUUGGAUUUAUUAUCUGGGUUCCUUAAUUAUCAACCUCAAAAACACAAUAUUACAUGCUAUACAGUAUUCAGGGUACCACAGAAAACAAAUGUGAUUUAUGGCGAGAUUGUUUAUGUCGGCUAAUAGAGUUAAAUCAGGCUUACAUUUAGUGAUAAAAUUAUGGAUGGAUUUGAUUGUGUCUAUAGUUGAUUUCUGACAAGGAUUUGUGAAGUUGAUUAAUAAGUACAUGUUUAUUGAAUAAUUCUUCACUAGUGUCAUGAAUGUAUUUGAAAAGAAAUCAUGAAAAAAAACUGUGCUAGUAUCAUGGCUUUUAUUCAGUCAUUUUAUCAUAUGCCUGUAUUCUGAAUUAGAUUUCUCAAUUAUCAUAUUACUGUUGGAAGAUUUUCAAUGGUCCAUGCAACUUGGAUAUUACAGUAUUUUAUUUGCCUUGAAUAGCAGCCAUGUUGGAGAGAGAGAAUGUGAAUAAACGCUGUGAAUUAUUGAGAAAUUGUGUCUACUGCCCUGUGUAGGUGUACUGAUUACAGUACUGUAAAAUACAUAUUUUUGUGAUAAUCAUAUUUUAGCGCUUUCCGUGCUUGAAGCAUUAUCCUAAAUUAUGAUUGCACUAAUAGCAUUCUAUAUACAGUUUCUAUAUGAAAUAAUUCCGCUAAUCUGUUGAAAUUGGCAAACCCGCUAAAAUUUGAUUACGCCAAAAAAAGUGUGUUUACAGUAUCUGUCACCAUCUAUAUUGCAAACCAUCUGCAUUCCUUAACUUACGGAAAUAACUUAACUUAACAUUUUCCAUAGGAAAGCAUUAUUGAAUUUAAGGGGAAGAUCGGAGUUUAUGGAAUUAUCUUUAAAUUCUGUAUUAAAGGAUAUCCUGUGGAAAAUUUAAGUUAAAGAAUUUCUGUAACUGAUGAAACCGGGGCCGGUCUCAUGAGAUCAAUGGUCUGGAGUAUUGAUCUGAUAUGUGGCGAGAUAUUGAAUCUGUUUUCUUACAAAAUAUGCAGGUUUGAAAUGUUGCAAUAAGUGUUUUAUACAGACAAGGUAAUUUGAUAUUGUAUACUCUGAAUGAAAACUCACUAGUCUAGACAAUAGCCUCAGUAGCAGUGUGAUUAUAGCUAUAGUAAUUCUGAAUCAUUAGGAAUGUUGUGACUGACUGAUAAUAUAUGUCUGAGAUUUGUAUACAUGGGACUCAAUUCAAACUGAUGCGUACAUGUCGGUAAUUUUAUAUAUGAAAUAUAUAAAAACUCAAAAUAUGAAACCUCAAUCUGGAGUUCUUAGUGUAUACAGUUUUGUCAAGUUACACUGGGACAACUUUCAGUUCAUCUCAGCAUUACAUUUGGAGAGAUCCACUUUUGGGAGAGAGGUAAUAGUGAUUCCACAAAAAUGUAAGAUUGUUUAUUGAAUGAAUGCUGUAGGGUUCCUUAGUUUUAUUAGCUCACCUGGCCCAAACAACCUAGUGAGCUUAUACCACGGUGCAGCGUCUGUUGUCCUUCGUCAGUCCGGCAUCAAGUUUUCCAAUUAAACAACUUCUCACUCCCAGAGUCAUGAUAUUUGGCUGAUCGGUUCCUUGGAUGAGGCUGAACAAAGUUUGUGAAAACAAAUGACUUUGACCAAUAAUCAAGGUCACAGGAGUCAAAUUUGUUAAAACCUUUAACUGACUGCAUCUCAUUAAACAAGAUACCUAUAGUUUUGAUAUUUCGUUGAUAGGUUCAUUUGAUGAGGCUUAAUGAAAUUCUAAACAAUUGACCUUGACCCCAUAUUUAAGGUCACAAAGGUAAAAAUCCUUAAAACCUUUUACUGUAAAUGACUUCUCAUUAACCAAGACUUCCAGAGCCAUGGUAUUUGGCUAAAAGGUUUCUUGGAUGAGGCCACACAAAGUUUGUAAAAAGCAAAUGACCUUGACCAUAUUCAAGGUCAAAUAUGAAAGAUUCCUUGAAACAUUUAAACAACAUUUUCCAGUUAACCAGAAGACAAAGAAUGGUGACAUUUUGCUGGUAGGUUCCUAUGAUGGAGCCCCACAAAAUUUUCGAAAAGAAGUGACCCUGAAUCAUAUGUUCAAGGUCAAAGAUAUCAGAUUGUUCAUAUGUAGAACUUAUUCUAAUUACCUGGAAAAGCCUAGAAUAAAGUACUUUUGUCUAAAUGAAAGGCAAUCACCAAACAAGUGAAUACUAGGUGAGCAAUGCAGGCCCAUUUGAGCCUCUUGUAUUUUAAUUAGACAUGACAAGAAAUAUUACCUCUUUGUGUUUUCUUUUUAGACUUUUAGUGUAGGUACAGUUUUUGAUAUCUCUUAAUAAGAAGUAGAUAAUCCAAAGUAAAAGUUUCAGAUACAGUUGUUUACUUAUGGUCUCUAUAAGUUCAGCUGUUUACUUGUGGUCAUUACAGGUUCAGCUGUUUACUUGUGGUCAUUACAGGUUCAGCUGUUUACUUGUGGUCACUACAGGUUCAGCUGUUUACUUGUGGUCACUACAGGUUCAGCUGUUUACUUGUGGUCAUUACAGGUUCAGCUGUUUACUUGUGCUCACUACAGGUUCAGCUGUUGACUUGUGGUCACUACAGGUUCAGCUGUUUACUUGUGGUCACUACAGGUUCAGCUGUUUACUUGUGGCCAAUACAGGUUCAGCUGUUUACUUGUGGUCACUACAGGUUCAGCUGUUUACUUGUGGUCACUACAGGUUCAGUUGUUUACUUGUGGUCAACACAGGUUCAGCUGUUUACUUGUGGUCAAUACAGGUUCAGCUGUUUACUUGUGGUCAACACAGGUUCAGCUGUUUACUUGUGGUCAACACAGGUUCAGCUGUUUAAUUGUGGUCAACACAGGUUCAGCUGUUGACUUGUGGUCAACACAGGUUCAGUUGUUUAAUUGUGGUCAACACAGGUUCAGCUGUUUACUUGUGGUCAACACAGGUUCAGCUGUUGACUUGUGGUCAAUAGAGGUUCAGCUGUUUACUUGUGGUCAACACAGGUUCAGCUGUUUACUUGUGGUCACUACAGGUUCAGCUGUUUACUUGUGGUCAAUACUGAUUCAGUUGUUUACUUGUGGUCAAUAGAGGGUCAGCUGUUUACUUGUGGUCAAUACAGAUUCAGCUGUAUACUUGUGGUCAACACAGGUUCAGCUGUUUACUUCUGGUCAAUACAAAUGAAGAAUUCACUUGUAUCAUAGCUGCAUAUUCCAGUUUGAUUCAGACAAAAAGAUGAUCCAUCCUGUUUGAUUUAAAUAUUAGAUCAUUUUUUUUUCACAGAACCAUUCCUUAUGUUACUAUUGCCAAAAGUAGACCAAUUGUAUAAAAAAAAGACACUUAAAAAAAUCAUUGUAUUGAAAUUUCCACUUUGAUUAGAGUUUUAACAAACAGUUGAUGUGUGUUCUCGUCUCGUUUUAUUUGGUGUAUUUGGUUAACAAAUAUUUUCUGAGUGAGGAAAUGAAAUCUUGAAGAUAUAUCACAGUAGUUUUGAGCAUUGUAUGUGUUUUGAGUAGAUUGUGAUAAGUUUUGCUUUUAAUGUAGGUUUCAUAGAUUUGGUUCUUGAUUGUGAUUGAUUGGUAUUUUGUGAAGUUCUUGUACGCAAAGAUUUUUUCAUAAGUGAUAAGAUGAUGUAUUUGUAGGGGAAUAUGUGGAUCAUUUGUGUAUGUCAUUAAUUUAUUUCUUCCUAUAGCAUUGUUUAUUCUGAUUGAUGAUCAUGUUUUUUUUUCUAUAAUAUCAUUUAUCAUGCAGAAAUGUAAAACAGGGUUAGUUAAGUAUGAUGAUUUUUCCUCAUUAUUUAUAUAGCCCUCAUCAAGUGCUCAUAUGACUUUGCUUGUAAUGCAUCAGUGUCACUAUAAACUUGCUUUGUAUCGGGGAUACGAUUAUAUAUAAUUAUUACAGUGUGUUUUUGUAAUACCCACUCGGUGCAUAAUACUGUUCAGCAACAGCAACAUUAAUCCCCUGAUAGAAAUUGUUACCUCAUCUUAUCGGAUUGGUGAGGUUAUAACAUUGUGCAGCAUCUGUCGUAAAGCUACUAGUCAGGAAUGACUGAAUGUAUUUUGGCCAAAUUUGGUCUUACCCGUGGUAAUCAUUGGCACAGGAGAUUUAAUGUUGAAUAUAUCAUUAGCAGGGUAGAUUCAAUGUUGAAUAUAUCAUUAGCAGGGUAGAUUCAAUGUUGAAUAAAUCAUUAGCACGAGAGAUUCAAUGUUGAAUAUAUAACUGUUCUGUCCCUCCUUGAUGGCAAAAUGAUGUUUAUUGCCCAAUAGGGGGCAGAAUAUAAAAGGUAAAUUUUAAAAUCUUUCCCUUAAAUGAAUCAUAUGAUGUUGGAUCUGGAUCAUGAAUGCAAUUAAAUUUUAUGCAAAUGGAGGAUCAGCGCACAUCUUUUUGACGAGUGAAAUAAAAGUUUCUAAAAAGAAAUGAUCUUGUCCCCUUAGGCCCUUGUUACCAAUGAGAAGAAGCUAAAAUGAGAAUAUAUUUGUAAUACAUUGACUAUAAAUGAGAAUAUGUUGGUUCAAGGUGAGCAAAGCAGGCCCUGUGGGCCACAUGCUUUAUGCAUGCAAUGAUGUAAAGAUUAUCCCACACAGAAUGUUUUUAUAUUCAAAACAAUCACGUAAAUAACAACAAGAAAAUUUACCCCCGAGCUGAACAUACAAUCACCUAACAUCUAGCUCAUUACCAGUAUAGGUAUCGCUUUCAGACUGGAACAAGCAUCUACCUUAUACAAGCUAGCACGUGAGGAUGCUUGUAUCUUUUAUUGAGAUGUGAUUUAAUCGUGUAUGCAAUCAAUUAAUUACUGUGUUGGUUCAGAGAUUUUUUUGUCUCUGAUAGGUCUGAACAUUUAGGGAUAAAAUGUCAUGUUGUAUCACGAUCAUGAAAGACUUGUUCUCAUAGAGUUUGAUAUCUUUGUUAUAUAGCAAGCGAAUAUUAUCCUGUUUUUGAGUGUUAAAUAAUAAUACAAGAUAUAUGUAUAAAAAUAAUUUUUGAUUUCUUCAUCAUUUUGACAUGUUUUCUGUGUACUGUAAUGAUACAGUACGUUAAGAAUCAUCAGCUGGUAUGUAUUUCUUGAAAAAAAGGCUAGUUGACUCUUAGCUAGCCAGAAGUUUGUAAUAGUGGAGGUAUCUUAUAUAAUAGCAGCGAUAGGUACCAUUAAAUGUUGGGUACUGACUACUGACACCAAGGUAUCUUAAGUAAAACUGGAGAUACCAUUGUAACUUGUUGGGUAUCGACAGAUAUCCAAAUACUCGGGAGAUACCAUUCUGUUGGGUACUGACACUGAGGUAUCUUAAGUAAAACGGGAGGUACCAUUGAAACUUGUUAGGUAAUUGACACCAAGAUAUCCAAAUAAUAUGGGACAUAUUAUUGUAACUGUAGGAUAUUUAUUGAUUCUUUCUAAGUACACCAAGAGGAACCAUGAACUGUUGGGUAUUGACUGACAUGUCCAAAUACUACGGGACGUACCAUUAACAGUUGGGUAUUGACCGAGAUAUCCAUAUACUACGGGACGUACCAUUAACUGUUGGGUAUUGACAGAGAUAUCCAUAUACUACGGGACGUACCAUUUACUGUUGGGUAUUGACAGAGAUAUCCAUAUACUACGGGACGUACCAUUAACUGUUGGGUAUUGACCGAGAUAUCCAUAUACUACGGGACGUACCAUUACUGUUAGGUAUUGACCCAGAUAUCCAUAUACUACGGGACGUACCAUUAACUGUUGGGUAUUGACCGAGAUAUCCAUAUACUACGGGACGUACCAUUAACUGUUGGGUAUUGACCGAGAUAUCCAUAUACUACGGGACGUACCAUUACUGUUAGGUAUUGACCGAGAUAUCCAUAUACUACGGGACGUACCAUUAACUGUUGGGUAUUAUCACCAAGGUAACCAAAUACAAUGGGAGGUGCCAUAUGAUAUUGGGAAUUCUGGGUACUGUAAUAUAGGCGGUACCACAUACCAUUGGGCAUUGUUUGCAUCCUCUGUUGGUUACUUUAUAACAUGUAUAGGCAAACUAUUUGUCUUAAAAGACAAACAAAUUGCUGAUUAAACUAUACUGUGUGUAAA